rnacentral:rRNA from 1 species
GGGCCCGCACAAGCGGUGGAGCAUGUGGUUUAAUUCGAUGAUACGCGAGGAACCUUACCAGGGCUUAAAUGUAAGUUGCAUUAGCUAGAGAUAGCUAUUUCUUCGGACCACUUACAAGGUGCUGCAUGGUUGUCGUCAGCUCGUGCCGUGAGGUGUCAGGUUAAGUCCUAUAACGAGCGCAACCCCUGUUGUUAGUUGCCAGCGAGUAAUGUCGGGAACUCUAACAAGACUGCCGGUGCAAACCGUGAGGAAGGUGGGGAUGACGUCAAAUCAUCACGGCCCUUACGUCCUGGGCUACACACGUGCUACAAUGGUCGGUACAGAGAGCAGCCACUACGCAAGUAGGAGCGAAUCUACAAAACCGAUCUCAGUUCGGAUCGGAGUCUGCAACUCGACUCCGUGAAGUCGGAAUUGCUAGUAAUCGC